rnacentral:lncRNA from 1 species
UGUUUUUUAUUAUUAGGUCUUUCCACUUUUCUGUGGAAAGCCUAUUGUAUUUGUUCUGAUUAUUAUUAUUAUUAUUUUUUUUUUUUUUUUUCCGCCAAAUUUUGUUCUUGCGAUAAAUGUUUGUUUCGCAAUAUGUCGCUUAGAUUUUUUUCAUAUUGUAUCGUAUAGUUUAUGCGCUUUUAAAUUUCACCCUGCUAAGCCGAACCAUUUUCUUUGUAAGAGUUAUCUCCCUAUUCACUGUUUGUCAUGUGUGUGCAUCUCCUUCGUAACAAAAUAAGAAAGCGACAAAAUUCUUUUUACAAAUUGUUCGUUACAUCCUCAGGAAUUUUUGGCUAAUUUGGAUCGAAGCGAUUCGAUGAAAUUUUAUAGGAGUUAUGUACCUUUACGGAAUAAAUUUGUCGGUAUGUUUUUUUUUUAACUCAUAAACCGUUAACCGUAUAACCCUGGAAUGUUUUUAUUUGAGUCCCCUGGGUCCUAACUUAGAAAAUUAGGUCAAGGUCAAAGGUCAAGGUCAUAUUUUAGAUUUUCAUAUGUCUUUGAUUUCCCUAUAAUUCUUGAAUGGUUAUAGAUACAGAAAAUUUAAGCAGUGAAAAAUGUUCAGUACUUCAAGGGGCAACUUUGUUACAUUAUGACUGUAUUGGUUUUACCAUUAUGUAAGGGACAUAACCCCCAUUGAUGGUUUAUAAAAAGCCAUUAUUAGGCAAAACUCUUAAACAAAAGGUCCUUGACCCAUAGGGUCUUUUGCAAUGACAUUGUGAAGCAAUGACCUUGACAAAGGUCACAAGGUCAAAGGUCAAGGUCAUGUACAUAUGUGAUUUGGGGCACGACUUGAAGAAUUUUAUGUGUGUUUGCCAACCAACCAACCAACCAACCAAUCAUGAUCAAUCAAUAAUGAUCAAUCAACAAAUCAUGAUCAUG